rnacentral:piRNA from 1 species
UGGAUAUUUACAGACCUCGUCUCAGAAGAUA